rnacentral:rRNA from 1 species
CAGCCGUAAACUAUGCUCGCUAGGUGUCAGGCAUGGCGCGACCGUGUCUGGUGCCGCAGGGAAGCCGUGAAGCGAGCCACCUGGGAAGUACGGCCGCAAGGCUGAACUUAAGGAAUUGGCGGGGGAGCACAACAACGGGUGGAGCCUGCGGUUUAAUUGGACUCAACGCCGGACAACUCACCGGGGGACGACAGCAAUAUGUAGGCCAGGCUGAAGACCUUGCCUGAAUCGCUGAGAGGAGGUGCAUGGCGUAGACGUC